UCACAGAGGAAACUCCCACAGACUUCUCGACUGGCUGACAAGAAGGAAGCCACAGUGAGAGAAGGACAAAGGAAAAACAGCCUUCACAAUCUAUGGUAGACUUCUUGAUGAUAUCAGUAAAAGCAGUUGGGCAAGUUUCGGGAGAGCAGCUCAUAACAAAAGGGCCACCUUGUCCUCACUGGCCGCAAUAAUGAUGCCUCUCUUCUGGCUUCUGCUUUUGGCAAAGCUUCCUAAGCUGGCUCUUUUCUCCGGUUCGGAUCGUUGUGUAAUCCAGGAGAUCAACAACUCACAAAAUGUGUCUUCAAUACUGGAAUCAUUACAAUGCCAUAAUAACUACAUGUCACAUGUCCACUGCAAGUGGAGGCAACACAUAAACACACAGUUAGAGCUCUGGAUCAG